rnacentral:rRNA from 1 species
AGGAAUAUUGGUCAAUGGCCGGAAGGCUGAACCAGCCAAGCCGCGUGAGGGAGGAAGGCGCAGAGCGUCGCAGACCUCUUUUGCCGGGGAGCAGGGCGGCGGACGUGUCCGCCGUUUGAGAGUACCCGGAGAAAAAGCAUCGGCUAACUCCGUGCCAGCAGCCGCGGUAAUACGGAGGAUGCGAGCGUUAUCCGGAUUUAUUGGGUUUAAAGGGUGCGUAGGCGGGCUUUUAAGUCAGCGGUAAAAAUUCGGGGCUCAACCCCGUCCGGCCGUUGAAACUGGGGGCCUUGAGUGGGCGAGAAGAAGGCGGAAUGCGUGGUGUAGCGGUGAAAUGCAUAGAUAUCACGCAGAACCCCGAUUGCGAAGGCAGCCUUCCGGCGCCCUACUGACGCUGAGGCACGAAAGUGCGGGGAUCGAACAG